CCGUGGACGGCGUCCCCAAGCCGCCUGUAGCUUCCACCAAGGAUUUUUAUCCGUCAAGGUUGACGGAUUGGUUUUAAAAUUUUUCCGUCACACGCAGCAAAUUUCCGUCAAUUGACGGAAAAACGGACGUUGGCUAGAGCCCUGACCCACCCCCAACCAGUUCCCAACCCUUUCCAGAAAGUUUGAAACAUUUGAAAUGUUCGGCUGGCACUGUAAGCCAAUCAGCAUCUAACCUUGGAGACCAACUGUCAACCUUUAAAGGCUACCUUGUUCCCAACUAACGCCCAAUUAUAAUUAUUAUAUUUCAUUGGUGCAGGAAUUUUAGCCCAUUUUAGCAGAAUAAAACAGCAACAGAAUGUUGAGAGCACAUAACAGUUACUCUGCAUUAAGUAUUUUGGAUGGUUUAUUUUCUCUGUUUUGUAACACAUUCAAUGAAAAAGUCUUACUUAAUAGGUAUCAGACUUGUUUUGACUGUCAUUGAAGAAUUUUCAGGGAUAUUACAGUACUAGGAUAUUUCACAUUGCACUUACAGACAGUUAACAUACAAGCUACGUCGGAAGAGCUGAAAUAGCAUUAAUAUCUAUGAGAUGUACGUUACACACUAUGUGGAUGAAAUGAGUUAUCAAAUAACCCAAAUCAAAAGACUAAAAAGUAUAUCUUUUUUCAAUUUACUUUUAAUGGAAAUGUGAAUAUGACAACACCUGUACAUGUAACUAAUACUGACACAGAGGUUAUGCAGAAAGCCAUUGCUGCUAUGGGCUCUUGGAAAAUUGAACUAGAAAAUUAAAAGACAUCAAAAAGAUUUAAUGUUACUGGGUCCUGGUUACUAUAGUCUAGAUUUUGUGUCAUUCCUAGUGCUUAAAUGACCAUUUUGUAAAAGUUUUGUCACUGCAUAACUAUGAUCAUUUUGUGUAUUCACUAAAUCUUAGUUCAUAGUUUACA